GUUUGCACUUGUCGGGGAAGGGUGAGAACCUUCGAUUAAGGUUCGACUCGAGCGAAAGCGAGAGAAUGUUGCCAACGGCAACGGCC
rnacentral:sRNA from 1 species